rnacentral:rRNA from 1 species
UACAGAGGUCCCAAGCGUUGUUCGGAUUCACUGGGCGUAAAGGGUGCGUAGGCGGUCGGGUAAGUCUGAUGUGAAAUCUCACAGCUUAACUGUGAAACUGCAUUGGAUACUAUCCGGCUAGAGGAAUGGAGGGGAGACUGGAAUACUUGGUGUAGCAGUGAAAUGCGUAGAGAUGCGGAGGAACACCGAUGGCGAAGGCAGCCCCCUGGGCUGACACUGACGCUCAGGCACGAAAGCGUGGGGAGCAAACAGG